rnacentral:rRNA from 1 species
GACAGAGGCCCCAAGCGUUAGGCGGAAUCACUGGGCUUAAAGCGUGUGUAGGCGGAUCGUUAAGUGUCUUGUGAAAUCCCACGGCUCACCCGUGGAACUGCUGGGCAUACUGGCGAUCUUGGGCCAACUAGGGGCAGUCGGAACAAGCGGUGGAGCGGUGAAAUGCGUAGAUAUCAGGAGGAACACCGGUGGCGAAGGCGGAUCUCUGGGCCAUUACUGACGCUGAGGAGCGAAAGCGUGGGGAGCGAACAGG